rnacentral:rRNA from 1 species
AUGAACGCUGGCGGCGUGCCUCAUACAUGCAAGUCGAACGCUGGAAAUCUAGCUUGCUAGAUUGAAGGAGUGGCGAACGGGUGAGUAAUACAUAAGCAACCUACCCACGAAGACUGGGAUAAUCUCUGGAAACGGGGACUAAUACCGGAUAGGUAAUCGGAAGGCAUCUUCUGAUUAUUAAAGGUUAAAAACACUGGUGGAUGGGCUUAUGGCGCAUUAGUUAGUUGGUGAGGUAACGGCCCACCAAGACGAUGAUGCGUAGCCGGCCUGAGAGGGUGAACGGCCACAUUGGGACUGAGACACGGCCCAGACUCCUACGGGAGGCAGCAGUAGGGAAUUUUCGGCAAUGGGGGAAACCCUGACCGAGCAACGCCGCGUGAGUGAUGACGGCCUUCGGGUUGUAAAGCUCUGUUGUAAGGGAAGAACGGUAGAUAGAGAAUAUCUAAAUGACGGUACCUUACCAGAAAGCCACGGCUAACUACGUG